rnacentral:rRNA from 1 species
UACAGAGGUGCCAAGCGUUAGGCGGAAUUACUGGGCUUAAAGCGCGUGUAGGUGGACGGGUAAGUAUCUUGUGAAAUCCCACGGCUCAACCGUGGAACUGCUGGAUAUACUGCUUGUCUUGAGGCACUUAGGGGCAGCUGGAACAAAUGGUGGAGCGGUGAAAUGCGUAGAUAUCAUUUGGAACGCCAAAGGCGAAAGCAGGCUGCUGGGAGUGAUCUGACACUGAGACGCGAAAGCCAGGGGAGCAAACGGG